rfam:Schistosoma rodhaini strain Burundi genome assembly, scaffold: SROB_scaffold0001433
AUUCAGCUGACGAGUCCCAAGUAGGACGAAAUGCGCGUCCUGGAU